CACAAUGUAUAUUUAUAGCUCGGAUAUUUAUCAUGGGAAAAUUAUUAGCUACAUAUGAUAUGGAUGAUUAUUGCUGCUUCUACAUGCUUUUGUCAUAUUCCUUAUCUAUAUACGACUGCCUUUAAUAUAAGAAUGACCAAUUGCUGUGCAAUAUUUAUUAUGAAAGUAUUAAUCGGGCCUCAAAGCGAAUCGACAUUUGUGACGUCAUUCUGAAUGUAGUGAAACACAUUGGUGCUGCAGGAGCACACACCAACUUUUAGUUUGGAGAACGGACUAAUUCGGCGAAUAUGUAAAACUUCAGCCAAGCACAUUUAUUUAACAGACAUCUUAUGUCUACAAUGGCUAUAUACACAGGUCGAUAUCGAGACAAAAUGUUUUGAUGUCCAAAAACGUUCCUAGUACCAGUCGCUACAGUAAAACUUAACAUCACUGCACCUUAUCAUCACUAGACGGACCAUAAGUCAGAAGGAAACCAGCGUGAAACCUUUGAUAAUACAUAAUUGUACCUGUUCAGGUGGUGUGGAAGAUCACAGGUUCAUUUGACAUGGGGUAUAAAUGAUAUUUGACUGUGAAUUAAAACAAACGUAAUGCGUCAUGGGAAUGGAAUCUCUCAGCCUCAUUUUGAUGAUUCCAUUUGGUGUAUGUUUCUUUCUCUUAUUCAUUGUGUGCUGUUUUGCUGACGAGAUCAAACAAAUGUGCAGGAUGCCCAAUCAACUCCCAUUGUAUUACGUAGGUGGUGACAUCCAGCAUACAAAUAUACGUACCCGGCGCUCACGAUCCCAUCGAGAACGAAGUCCCAACAGUAGAUUCAACCAAAUCCACAGCAUGGGAGAUUCAGAAAACUUAUUGACGGGGGAAGGAAGAAGUAGAAACAGUUCAGGAGAUUCAAUAGAGAUAACGACAUCUUCUCUUAAUCAUACACAGUCAUCACCACAGAUUAACUUCUUAACCGUCGUGACGUCACAAGCAAACGGUCAAAUUACCAGAUCCGUUGUGGAAACGAACAGUUUAUUAUCAUCUUCCCAGAAUUUGAACUUUGGACCUAUGAGUGUUUCACAGACUGACUUAACACAACAAGCCAUCACGUAAACGGCUAAAACAUAUCAUAUUUACUCUACGCAAUAGCUUUUAAAUUUUGUUUUACGGUAUACAUGUAGUAUAAGUUGUACAUACAUUGUAUCAUCCAUAUGUGUGACGUUCUUCACACUCAUUCCUCUAUUCUGUUAAAAUGGGGAAUGUUGUAAUGAUAUUUAGUUUUUUGCUAUUGUUUUUCGAUUAUACCGGUAUUUUGAUUUUUUUUCGAACCUGAUCAUGAUGGCUUUAAUUAUUCAGGAAGAGAAACUUAAACUUUAUAUUCAGAGGUCUGACUGAUAUAGGAAUAAUAAACAUAUAAGAACCCCAUCAUCAACAACAUGGAAUAACGGCACAAUUAGAAAACCGUAAUUCUAACUAAAAAUCGAUAUAACGAAGGCAAAAUAUGAAAAAAAAAAAACCAGGAACAAAAAACUGUUUUGCAUGAAGACCCUUUAAAUGUAGACAUCUAAUCAAUUGUACUCGGGGUUCAGAUAGUUUUAUCAUUUAAAACCCUUCAUAACUUUAGUCAAUCAUAUGAUACUAGAUUUAUAUCAACACCUUACAUAUCCUUAUUGUUAUUUUUUAGUAUUGUUAUCGUUUUUAUUUGUUUGAUAGAUUAAAUGAUCAAUAUGCCCGAUUUGAUGUAUAGAAUUCAGUUUACCUUACCUGUAUACGCUUACUUCAUUUCCUAAUCGAAGAUAUAUAUAUAGACAUGUGCGAUAUUUUAUUUUUUCUUACCCUAGACUUGGAUAUCCAUAAUUUCACCGAUGUGAGAUUAUAUUUUCUCUUACCCUUGACAGGGAUAUCAACAAUUUUACUGGUGUGAAAAUUUCAAAUCUCGCCCUAGUUUGAGGCAAGCUACGUGUGCUCUUUGCACACUCUAAACAAUGGCAUUUCGUCAUGUCAACAAUAGCAUGACGUCACAGCGACAAUAAAAAGACGCCAAGUCGACAAUUCAAUCACUUUAUCUCAACAUCUUCUUACAUUGAUGUAAUCCAUAUCUUAGAUUUAUAAGAGGGUAAACAGGGUAAGAAGAUGUAAUCCCUAUCUUAGAUUUAUAAGAGGGUAAACAGGGUAAGAAGAUGUAAUCCAUAUCUUAGAUUUAUAAGAGGGUAAACAGGGUAAGAAGAUGUAAUCCAUAUCAUAG